CUUAACACAUGCAAGUCGAGGGGCAGCAUGGUCUUAGCUUGCUAAGGCCGAUGGCGACCGGCGCACGGGUGAGUAACGCGUAUCCAACCUGCCUUACACUCUUGGACAGCCUUCUGAAAGGGAGAUUAAUACAAGAUGUUAUCAUGAGUAAGCAUUUUCGCAUGAUUAAAGGUUUACCGGUGUAAGAUGGGGAUGCGUUCCAUUAGAUAGUAGGCGGGGUAACGGCCCACCUAGUCUUCGAUGGAUAGGGGUUCUGAGAGGAAGGUCCCCCACAUUGGAACUGAGACACGGUCCAAACUCCUACGGGAGGCAGCAGUGAGGAAUAUUGGUCAAUGGACGAGAGUCUGAACCAGCCAAGUAGCGUGAAGGAUGAAGGUUCUAUGGAUUGUAAACUUCUUUUAUACGGGAAUAAACGAAUCCACGUGUGGAUUUUUGCAUGUACCGUAUGAAUAAGGAUCGGCUAACUCCGUGCCAGCAGCCGCGGUAAUACGGAGGAUCCGAGCGUUAUCCGGAUUUAUUGGGUUUAAAGGGAGCGUAGAUGGGUUGUUAAGUCAGUUGUGAAAGUUUGCGGCUCAACCGUAAAAUUGCAAUUGAUACUGGCAGUCUUGAGUACAGUUGAGGUAGGCGGAAUUCGUGGUGUAGCGGUGAAAUGCUUAGAUAUCACGAAGAACUCCGAUUGCGAAGGCAGCUUACUAACCUGUAACUGACAUUGAUGCUCGAAAGUGUGGGUAUCAAACAGGAUUAGAUACCCUGGUAGUCCACACGGUAAACGAUGAAUACUCGCUGUAGGCGAUAUACAGUCUGCGGCCAAGCGAAAGCAUUAAGUAUUCCACCUGGGGAGUACGCCGGCAACGGUGAAACUCAAAGGAAUUGACGGGGGCCCGCACAAGCGGAGGAACAUGUGGUUUAAUUCGAUGAUACGCGAGGAACCUUACCCGGGCUUAAAUUGCAACCGAAUAUGGCGGAAACGCUAUAGCUAGCAAUAGCGGUUGUGAAGGUGCUGCAUGGUUGUCGUCAGCUCGUGCCGUGAGGUGUCGGCUUAAGUGCCAUAACGAGCGCAACCCUUGCCGAUAGUUACUAACAGGUCAUGCUGAGGACUCUGUCGGGACUGCCAUCGUAAGAUGUGAGGAAGGUGGGGAUGACGUCAAAUCAGCACGGCCCUUACGUCCGGGACUACACACGUGUUACAAUGGGGGGUACAGAGGGCUGCUACCACGCAAGUGGAUGCCAAUCCCAAAAACCUCUCUCAGUUCGGAUUGAAGUCUGCAACCCGACUUCAUGAAGCUGGAUUCGCUAGUAAUCGCGCAUCAGCCACGGCGCGGUGAAUACGUUCCCGGGCCUUGUACACACCGCCCGUCAAGCCAUGGGAGCCGGGGGUACCUGAAGUGCGUAACCGCAAGGAGCGCCCUAGGGUAAAACUGGUGACUGGGGCU
rnacentral:rRNA from 1 species